rnacentral:rRNA from 1 species
CCGCCCGUCACACUCACGAAAGUGGGUUGUACUAGAACGUCGCUGCGCUAACCGCAAGGAGGCAAGCGCCCAAGGUAUGACUCAUGAUUGGGGUG